GACGAACGCUGGCGGCGUGCCUAAUACAUGCAAGUAGAACGCUGAAGGAGGAGCUUGCUUCUCUGGAUGAGUUGCGAACGGGUGAGUAACGCGUAGGUAACCUGCCUGUUAGCGGGGGAUAACUAUUGGAAACGAUAGCUAAUACCGCAUAAUAGCAGUUGUUGCAUGACAACUGUUUGAAAGGUGCAAUUGCACCACUACCAGAUGGACCUGCGGUGUAUUUGCUAGUUGGUGGGGUAACGGCUCACCAAGGCGACGAUCCAUAGCGGACCUGAGAGGGCGAUCAGCCACACUGGGACUGAGACACGGCCCAGACGCCUACGGGAGGCAGCAGGAGGGAAUCGUCGGCAAUGGACGGAAGUCUGAGCGAGCAACGCCGAGGGAGGGAAGAAGGUUGUCGGAUCGUAAAGCUCUGUUGUAAGAGAAGAACGAGUGUGAGAGUGGAAAGUUCACACUGUGACGGUAUCUGACAAGAAAGCGACGGCUAACUACGUG
rnacentral:rRNA from 1 species